rnacentral:rRNA from 1 species
UACGAAGGGGGCUAGCGUUGUUCGGAUUUGACUAGGGCGUAAAGCGCACGGUAGGCGGAUCGAUCAGUCCAGGGGUGAAAUCCCAGGGCUCAACCCUGGAACUGCCUUUGAUACUGUCGGAUCUGGAGUGAUGGAAGAGGUGAGUGGAACUGACGAGUGUAGAGGUGAAAAUUGUAGAUAUCGCAAGACACCAGUGGCGAAGGCG